AGCGAACGCUGGCGGUAGGCCUAACACAUGCAAGUCGAACGGCAGCACAGGAGAGCUUGCUCUCUGGGUGGCGAGUGGCGGACGGGCGAGGAAUACAUCGGAAUCUACUCUGUCGUGGGGGAUAACGUAGGGAAACUUACGCUAAUACCGCAUACGACCUACGGGUGAAAGCAGGGGACCUUCGGGCCUUGCGCGAUUGAAUGAGCCGAUGUCGGAUUAGCUAGUUGGCGGGGUAAAGGCCCACCAAGGCGACGAGCCGUAGCUGGUCUGAGAGGAUGAUCAGCCACACUGGAACUGAGACACGGUCCAGACUCCUACGGGAGGCAGCAGUGGGGAAUAUUGGACAACGGGCGCAAGCCUGAUCCAGCCAUACCGCGUGGGUGAAGAAGGCCUUCGGGUUGUAAAGCCCUUUUGUUGGGAAAGAAAUCCAGCUGGCUAAUACCCGGUUGGGAUGACGGUACCCAAAGAAUAAGCACCGGCUAACUUCGUGCCAGCCGCCGCGGUAA
rnacentral:rRNA from 1 species